GACAGAGGAUGCAAGCGUUAUCCGGAAUGAUUGGGCGUAAAGCGUCUGUAGGUGGCUUUUUAAGUCCGCCGUCAAAUCCCAGGGCUCAACCCUGGACAGGCGGUGGAAACUACCAAGCUGGAGUACGGUAGGGGCAGAGGGAAUUUCCGGUGGAGCGGUGAAAUGCGUAGAGAUCGGAAAGAACACCCAGCGCAGGAAGGCACUCUGGCGUG
rnacentral:rRNA from 1 species